AGUAACGACAAUGCGAGUGAAAAACUCGCACGCUGAAAGACCAAGGGUUCCAGUCCAACGUUAAUCGGGGCUGGGUGAGUCGACCCCUAAGGCGAGGCCGAGAGGCGUAGUCGAUGGGAAAUUGGUUAAUAUUCCAAUACUUCUAUGUAAUGCGAUGAGAGGACGGAGAAGGUUAAGUCAGCCUGGCGUUGGUUGUCCAGGUGGAAGGUUGUAGGCAUGUAUCUUAGGCAAAUCCGGGGUACUCUAUGCUGAGAACUGAUAGCAAGCUGUACUUGUACAGCGAAGUGGCAAAUACCCUGCUUCCAGGAAAAGCUUCUAAGCGAUAGUCAUAAAGAAAUCGUACCCUAAACCGACACAGGUGGUCAGGUAG
rnacentral:rRNA from 1 species